rnacentral:rRNA from 1 species
GAUGAACGCUAGCGGGAGGCCUAACACAUGCAAGCCGAGCGGUAUUUGUUCUUCGGACCCGCGAGAGCGGCGCACGGGUGCGGAACACGUGUGCAACCUGCCUUUAUCUGGGGGAUAGCCUUUCGAAAGGAAGAUUAAUACCCCAUAAUAUAUUGAGUGGCAUCACUUGAUAUUGAAAACUCCGGUGGAUAGAGAUGGGCACGCGCAAGAUUAGAUAGUUGGUGAGGUAACGGCUCACUAAGUCAAUGAUCUUUAGGGGGCCUGAGAGGGUGAUCCCCCACACUGGUACUGAGACACGGACCAGACUCCUACGGGAGGCAGCAGUGAGGAAUAUUGGACAAUGGGUUAGCGCCUGAUCCAGCCAUCCCGCGUGAAGGACGACGGCCCUAUGGGUUGUAAACUUCUUUUGUAUAGGGAUAAACCUACUCUCGUGAGAGUAGCUGAAGGUACUAUACGAAUAAGCACCGGCUAACUCCGUG